GAAACCCUGCCUGUGGUGAAGUGGUCCUCUGAGUGCCCCCACCAGCAGUCUAUCCUUAAGAGCAGAGGCAGGUGAGGAAGGGGUGGUGUGCUGCAGAGGGACAUCUUUCUGGGGCUCUUUUUUCAGAGACACCGCCCCCGUUCAUGAGGCCACUCAGUUCUAUGGAACCAUUUUGUUGAAGAACAAAGGUGAUAUUGAAGUUACACAGAUGACACAUUUUGGAACCCUAAAGGAAGGAAGAAGUAAAACCAUAGUGAUCUGGAUAGAGAAUAAAGGAGACAUUCCUCAAAACUUAGUCAGCUGUAAACUGGCUGGCUGGGAUCAAUCUAAACAAUUCAGAUUUCAAAUGCUGAAUAAAGACCAGACGUGCCCCAUGGUAUCUUUUGUUUCUGUUCCUGAGAAGGAGAAUUCAUCAGAUGAAAAUGUUAGUUCAUUAAAUAGCCACACAAAAAACACAGUCUCUCAGAUGUCAGAGAACGGUUUGGUGAACAACAGAAGAAUCUCUCCAGGUGAUUAUACCUGUAAAGGAGAAAAUGGAGAAAAAGACAACAUUCUCUCAAGGAAGCAGAUGACAGAGCCCGAGCCUGGGGGGGCUUGUCCCUCCAGGGGGAAAAACCUUCAUUGUGGUCAUAUGUGAUGGAAAAAAUCCUGGCCGCUGCAAGGAGCUCCUUUUGCUUUGUUUUUCCGAUUUCCUGAUUGGGCGAUAUCUUGAAGUAAAUGUUAUCAGUGGGGAGGAGUUACUAAUUGCUGUGCGUGAACCAUUUUCUUGGAAAAAGCUUAAAAGUUCACAAGCAUUAACAUCUGCAAAAACUACAGUUGUUGUGACCCCACAGAAAAGGUACCCUAAGUGAAAUGAGUGUGGCUCUUGGUCUGGCAGUUUUAUUUGCUGGGUUUCAAGUCUCUUUUCAUGAUUGUAUUUGGGGGAUGGGGUGCAUUUCCAUGGAACUCUGAAGGUCAAGUUCUGUCUCUGCAGCUGCCCAGCAGCAGCCUGAAGCCCAAGGAAGACAGCCUUCACUCCCUCAAGCCCCACUCUGCCCUGGCAGUUCUAAAGGUGGCUCUCAGAGCAGGCUGGCCUCACCCAGCUCCCACCACCUCUCCCAUCCUGACGAGGCCAUGGUGGGUAGUGCAAGGCAUCCCUGUGUCACUUGCACUGGGGGCAACAGGAUUGUGGGGUCACCCGAAGCCUGUUUGAAGAUGUGGUACCACUUAAGAAUGAAGUUAGAAGAAACUGUGUGUGAUCUGGGACUUGUGGCUGGGGAACAUAGGGACCACCCAGAUUUUAACUGGAGUUUUGUCUCAGGAAAGCAUUUCAUGUCCACGUGUUCUCUUCUGUAGUUAUAAAACCAAAAAGCCCUGAACAGCAG
rnacentral:lncRNA from 1 species